UGAGGAAUAUUGCGCAAUGGCCGAAAGGCUGACGCAGCGACGCCGCGUGAAGGAUGAAGUCCGUUAGGAUGUAAACUUCUUUUGCGGGGGAUGAAUGGUCCGCCUCGUGCGGACGUGACCGUACCCCGCGAAUAAGGGUCGGCUAACUACGUGCCAGCAGCCGCGGUAAUACGUAGGACCCGAGCGUUGUCCGGAAUUACUGGGUGUAAAGGGCGUGUAGGUGGGCCUCUAAGUCGGAGGUGAAAUCCUGCAGCUUAACUGCAGAACUGCCUCCGAUACUAAAGGCCUUGAGUGCGGCAGAGGGAGAUGGAAUUCAUGGUGUAGCCGUGAAAUGUGUAGAUAUCAUGAAGAACACCGGUAGCGAAGGCGGUCUCCUGGUCCGUAACUGACACUGAGGCGCGAAAGCGUGGGGAGCAAACAGGAUUAGAUACCCUGGUAGUCCACGCCUUAAACGAUGGGUACUCGGUGCUGGGCCGCAAGGUUCAGUGCCAACGCUAACGCAUUAAGUACCCCACCUGGGGAGUACGAUCGCAAGGUUG
rnacentral:rRNA from 1 species